AUUGAACGCUGGCGGCGUGCCUAAUACAUGCAAGUCGAACGCAGUGGGGACGGGUGCGUAACACGUGGGUAACCUCCCAUCAGAGGGGAUAAAACUUGGAAACAGGUGCUAAACCGAUACUGAUGGAUGGACCCGCGGUGCAUGAGCUAGUUGGUGAGGUAACGGCUCACCCAGGCCACGAUGCAUAGCCGACCUGAGAGGGUGAGCGGCAACACUGGGACUGAGACACGGCCCAGACUCCUACGGGAGGCAGCAGUAGGGAAUCUUCGGCAAUGGACGAAAGUCUGACAGAGCAACGCCGCGUGAGUGAAGAAGGGUUUCGGAUCGUAAAACUCUGUUGGUAGAGAAGCGUUAUCUAACCAGAAAGCCACGGCUAACUACGUGCCAGCAGCCGCGGUAAUAC
rnacentral:rRNA from 1 species